rnacentral:rRNA from 1 species
CCUGCCCCGGAGCGGGGGAUAACAUUUGGAAACAGAUGCUAAUACCGCAUAACAACAAAAGCCACAUGGCUUUUGUAUGAAAGAUGGCUUUGGCUAUCACUCUGGGAUGGACCUGCGGUGCAUUAGCUAGUUGGUAAGGUAAUGGCUUACCAAGGCGAUGAUGCAUAGCCGAGUUGAGAGACUGAUCGGCCACAAUGGAACUGAGACACGGUCCAUACUCCUACGGGAGGCAGCAGUAGGGAAUCUUCCACAAUGGGCGCAAGCCUGAUGGAGCAACACCGCGUGAGUGAAGAAGGGUUUCGGCUCGUAAAGCUCUGUUGUUGGAGAAGAACGUGCGUGAGAGUAACUGUUCACGCAGUGACGGUAUCCAACCAGAAAGUCACGGCUAACUACGUGCCAGCAGCCGCGGUAAUACGUAGGUGGCAAGCGUUAUCCGGAUUUAUUGGGCGUAAAGCGAGCGCAGGCGGUUGCUUAGGUCUGAUGUGAAAGCCUUCGGCUUAACCGAAGAAGUGCAUCGGAAACCGGGCGACUUGAGUGCAGAAGAGGACAGUGGAACUCCAUGUGUAGCGGUGGAAUGCGUAGAUAUAUGGA